GGCCUUUCAUAGCUCAGUUGGUAGAGUAACGCACUAGUAACGCGGAGGGUCAUGGGUUCAAAAUCCCGUUGCAGCCA